CGGGAGCAGGGAAGGCGGGAUCUUGCUACAGCGAUGACGCGUGUGUGAUGAAGGCCUUCGGGUUGUAAAGCUCUUUCAGCGGGGAGGAGGGGGUUUUGGCUAAUACCUUUGGCUCUUGACCGUACCUCGAGAAGAAGCCCCCGCUAACUUCAUGCCAGCAGCCGCGGUAAUA
rnacentral:rRNA from 1 species